AACCAUACAUGAGAAUGUCAUCAGGCGGUAGAGGAAGGUGCAGAUGCAGAGCUUAAGUUUCAUUUACUAGGAGAAUUAAAAAAAGAGGGAGGGAGAGUCUGAGGGGUGCUUUGCUUUAUUCAACACAGGGACAGAUAUUACAUUAUCAUUUCAUCAUGGCUUUCUGGCAAUAUGGCUUUUUCAAUCAGCGGAUACAGACAUUAUUUAUUCAUAGAUGCAUUUUUAAAAGGCACACAAGAUACAGCAUAGCCAGUCUCCACAGAGUUGACACAAUCAAAUAUAUAUGAAUAUAAUAUUAGUGUGAGAUGGGGGCGGAGUGGGGGUUGGAUAAAUGAAACUUUAUUCAUGUGGAGAACAAGAGGAAAAGAAAAAAGGGAUGAAAGUGGAGGACAAACACGACCACGCAUUUAUCCUUCCACUCGCGGCUUCACCGGGAUCUCGAUUCAGUUUGUCCGACGCCGCUUCUGCUGUCACUUUGUCUUAGUCUGAGUGAAGCUGUAGUGCUGGUGUCAAUUGUAUAUGUCUGUCUCUGUGUGUGUCUGUCUGUGUGUGUGUGUGUGGUCUGGCAGUAUAUCCUUGCUUUAAGGCAAGUGUCUCUUUAAUGAGGCUUUGCUGCAAAAGGAGCUCCCUAGGACUCUUGACGUGCUCUGCAUUUCAAACACACACUCUCCUGCAGCAUGCAGACCUCUGGCACAUCCUUUCCUUCAUCACUCUAACACACACACACACACACACAAAUUGCCUCACAGGUUGUGCGAUUGUGUGUAUUUGAGUGUGUUCCCCGCUGUGCCAAAGAAUUGAUUGGUGGGUUUCCUGAACAGAGUGAGGGCUUGUCAAUGAGAGACAACCUUUCUGAUGCAGUGUAUCUGUCUUCCUCUCGCUCGCUCACUCGUUCUCCCCCUCUCUCUCCUUCUUUCUCCUUCCUCCGUCUCCAUCUCCCACUGCGAUACUCUCUGACCUCAUGUUUAUGUAUCUCACUAUGUCGAGCUGUUCAUCAAUGCUACCGUCAAAGGUCCAACCUCUGUUCUCCGUUUUUCUCUCUGCUCGGCUCGCUCCCUUGCCGCAAAGGCUGGCAGAUAUGAAUAAUACAAAAAAAAAAAACAACAACUUGGAAGUAAAAGGAGAUUGCAUUUCACAAAUUCAACUAAAGAGCUGUUUGGAGAAUUUGCAAGACUCAAACUUAAAUCUUGAACCUGCAAGGGAAAGCUUCGUCUAAAGGGUGCUGGAAAGAGCUCAAAGGUUUUGGCAGCUUUGGCCACAUACUAGAUCGAAGGUGGAGGUUUUUUCUCGGUUUAGACAGCUUCAGCGGCUCGAUAAAUGUAAGGAAUGAGCUCAAACAUGACAAGUGCAUUUGUAGUUGAAGCAGGAAGGCUCACUUGUUUUCAGUUUCAAAGCCUCGGCAGGCCUGUUUUCACUUAUACAGAGCCCUGAUGAACUAACAUUUCAAGAACUGACUCAAGAUGCUAGAGGGACAAGUGCGGUCUUUCAGAGAGCGUGUGUUUGUGUGAUACCGCGCUUCAUUGUUUUUCAAGGAGAAUGAAGUGUUCACGAGCGGAGCAGCUCAUUAGUGGCCCCGCUGAAUUGCUCUUAAUGAAUGCUAUCAGCCUCUAAUGAAAAGUAUUGUUCUUGAGCACAACUAAAUCAAAAGGUGUUUAAAGCGCGCGCUCGCCGCCAGAAGCCCACAAACGCACUUCAUCAAUGAACGUUUGGCGAAGAGGUCUCUGAUGGCCACACAGCGCUAUGGUUACAGGGGCUAACAACCCCACGAGAAAUCAAACUCUCAUUUAGACCACAGCCACUGCUCAAUACCCGCUCUGUUAUCGACCAGCACCGAUGUGUGUGUGUGUGGAUGAGUUAGUGUGAAAGAGCAGGAGGUGGGGCAGGAUGAGGAGAAAAGACUGAGGGGAAAAAACAGGAGGAAAUUGAUUCACUCCCUCCUCACACACACCCCCCAUCCCCUUGAUGGUGGUUAUUUGGCAUCAGAUAUGUGGGUCUCCUGACCUGUUUACAGCCCCUGGUCAAUUAGAAAAGUUUUUCUCUGGUCGGAUAAAACACAAAGCCUCCCUUCCUCUCCAUUAUGAACAAACAAGAGUUAUAAACAGCAGCAGUGGCUGAAAGUGAAGUGUGUACGCUCAGAUAGCCCGGAGCACUCGCUGAGAGUUAUGGGAGUUUGUGUUAAAGUUGAUGAGAAAAAUAUUACAUCCAUCUCAAUGUGCGCAUCUUUUAACCUUCAGCCCACAAACUCUGAAGUCCACAGGAGAUUUUCAGCCUCUCAACUUGACAUAAAUUGGAUACUCUGCUGGCACAGUGUCUGCUGACUCUGCUGCUGGUUUAAAAUGUUCUUAUUGCCAUUAUAAAAUUCUGACAAUUAAAACCAUAAAGCAAAGACUGCUCCAACACCCAAACUGUGGCAUUAACGGUGACUGUUUCCAGGAAUCACAGCGACAAUGUCUAGACAAAUUGCACCAUGGCCUGUUUAUGGUGAUGUCAGCGAACCAAAGCUCCAAUGCUGCUCUGCUGUAAAAGUCAUAGACAUGGAACCUGGUGUUGUCAGACCCAACAGACGUUUCGUAAGCAGGUGGGUCUGGAAUUGCUGACACGCUCAAUGGUUUCCCAUCUGUGUCAGAAAAAACAGACCAAUUAGAUUUUACUAUUAAAAAUUUGGUUGGGUUCUACAAGUUGAACAUGCAGGAAGGCCUUUUUAGUGUUACUGAGUGUUACAGUCACUCAUAUAGUGUGCUAACCUGGGCUAACAUUAGCGUGAGCUAGUUUACCAGAGACGAAAGUUCUGUUACUACAUCGCUAAUGAAGAUUAAAAAAAUGUAGGUAAAGUUAGUAGAUUUAAAGCUUUGUUGACAUAGACCCCUUUGUUGAUCUUCUGGACCAGUGGUGGACUGGACCAUCGGGGCAUUGCCUGGCCUGCCACCAAAUUGUGUGCGUGUGUGUGCCAGCAGGUAGGCCACUGAACUUGGAAGCAGGCCAGCAGCAAGGGUUUAAUUAAUUAAUUUAUGUCCGUUGCCUUGGCAACACGUUGCUGGUGCUAAAGUAGGAAGUAGAGCUGUGAGGUGAUCGGCCGUGGAUGCGCUGAUUGAGCAUCGUUGUCUGCUCCGCUCCCGAGCUGAUGGUUUUUCUUUCUCUUCCUCCCCCUGAGGCAACAUCUUUAAGUGUUUUUCAUGCUGUUGCUCUAAGAUCUGAUUGUUUUGAGUUUGAUAAGGUCGCUGACCGACACCGAGAUGGCUACGAUGCUGGUGGUGCUAAUCCAAGUUUUAUGCCUCUCGAGAACUUUGACUUUUUCUGACAGGCUUUCAACAUUUAUCAUAAUACAACAGCAAUGUGGAAGGCUACACUCUUAGUUUAAAUGAGUAAACAAAUAGUUAAAGGCAUGUAGCCAAUGUUGAAUUCUUCACAUUAGAAUUAUAUUCACUAAAUCUGGCUUCAAAUGUCCAAAACUUUUCGCCGGUGCUGGCAUUUAAGUGUCAAUGUGUAUUGGCCUGGCCUGGAUGGAGUUAAACUCCUGGCCUGAAUUUUGGUCCCAGUCUGCCCCUGUUCUGGACGUUAAGUUGGCUGUGAGGUCUGCCACACAACUUCAUCCAUAGCAGACAUUCACUUUGGUCUUUCUUUGGUCUUGGAAAUGGAAUGAAAUACACCCCAUUGCCCAUCCUGUUGGGCUACCUUGUGUCGGUAUUACAUCUACCCCAUGCACACCUUUUUUACCAUGUUUCUUUCUGUUCUAUUAAAAUUAACGCCAUAAAACAGAUAAAGAAUUACGACUUCUAAUGCUUCUCUACAGAUAUCCGAGUUAACAGCCAUUACACAUGAACUGAAAAUACUUUUCCAGAUACACGAUGACUGCAUUGUUGGAGGGAGAAGCAGAUUCAUCCUUAGUGUUAUUUGUAUUCGCUCUGUCUACUCAAGAAAUGCAGGUGUGAAAAACCAGCAGGAAUAAAACUACAAGGAGAAACAAGCUACACAAUCCACUUAGAUUUCUGUGUGUUUGCUGACUCACAGGGUGGGUGAAUAGAUCUUUACCCACUGACAGCUUCUAGUUGAGGGCACACAUACCGCAUAUGCAAAGUCCAUGUGACACAGAAAGCUGUGCCAUCUAAAAAUCACCUGUAGUCUUCCAGAAAAGGAGAGUGUGCCUUUUUUGCUGCCUGUAUGUGAUUCAGGCAGCAAACGUCUCUUGUAAAACUUGAGUAUGAAUUUGUCCUGAGGAAUGAUGGUUGAACCUCUCCAUCACCUGCGCUGACACCACCUUCACAGAGUCUUUUGGUACUGAGGUCUUAAAUUUCCAUCAGUUAUGUCUCGCUGCCAUUUGGGCCUGUCACCAUGUUAAAUUGCCAGGUACGGCUUUAACAGCAAUUUAUAAAUAAAUUCUACCCGACUUAAUUUCAUCACUCCUCAGGCAUCGACCUCCACUCUCGAGGGUGUCAGAAUUGCUUUUCCAUCACGAACAGAGUAUUUGGGGUUGGCAGGAGAACACAAACUGAGAUAGGAUUUGUUGGGUGGGGGGGUGAGUGUUGGUAAUGAACAUGGCGCAGACCCGAGGUUGGCACAGCGGGCUGCAAUCUAAUCAUUGCUGCACCUUAUUUUCAUCCAGACGUGGGGGAGAAUUAUCCAUUUAAAGCCGUCAGUUUUAUCUCCCAAUCACACAGCUUAGAUCUGCACCACGGACACUUUGUUAAGCACCUAGAUGUGUCCAAUCAGCCGGCGUAGGAGGCCUGUCAGCGUGAGUUUGCACAUGAGUGUGAUUGAAUGUGUACGGGUGCUUUCAGUUGGUUAAAGCUCUCUAAUCAGUGGCGUUUGAGUGCGCGCGGGCGGCUCGUAUUGCCAUGUGAUGUCCUUAGACUGGCACAAAUUGGCAAUCAGGUGAGGUUGGCAUGGGCGAGGGUCUCUCCUCUCCGGGAUCCUGACUCCAAUUGGCCCUUUCUCUCCUUUUCCAUCCUCUCAUCUCUCUCCUCUUCCAUCACCAGAGCGGUUUUAACUUGACCCGGACAGGUGCUCCUGACAAAACCCAUUACAGUCUCAAUUACGCUAUAUACCUCCCUCUGCUUCCUUUUCGGCAGUUUUUUUCCCCUCUUCUGUCUGCUUUCCUCUCCGUUGUUUCCUCCUCUGAUGCUCAGGGACUGGUGGGCGCUCUGAGCGGUCUGCGUUGGUGCUUCCCUCCAGACUCUAUUGCCGGUCUAUCAAUGCCUUGCUUCUCGGUUCAACUAAUUAGCCUUGGUGGGACCAUCACCAUCCUCCUCAUUACAAAAACAGAACAGAUGUGGGUGAGGGAAGGAGAGGGGAAUGGAAGGACAACAGACUAAUGCACAGGAGGACAUGCUGGAGGGGAAAAGAGCUGCAACAGUGCCAGAGUUGAGGGUUUCAUUCCCUAAAGGACAGUGCCAGGACAGACAUGAUUUUAAUUGCUUGUAAAGGUGUUCGAUGUUGGCAGACAGGAACUCCUUCAAUGCCACAACAAAGUACUCUCAGAGGAAGAUGAUGAUGAAGAGAUCAAGCCUGAGACUAAUUGUAAUCAAACUCGCACUUUUAAGCUGGUAGAACUCAUGAUUAAUUAUACUUUUAAAAUGUGAUAAUGGUAAAAGGCACACAGAUGCAAUGUCAUGAAAUACUGGUGUCUGGGUAGAAUCAAACUGGGGAUGUUGCAGCUGUAUUGCAUAUCUUAAAACAACAACCAUGGGAUUAGUUUCUUUUUUUUCUUCUCAAAACUAUGAGGCGCUAACUACAAUGCACUCUUUUAAGAUAAGAGAUCCCAGCAAGAUUGAUAUCAGCAACCUGGAGCAAUUUGUUCUUUUUUUGGCAAUAACUUCUUUUCUCAAACAAGUUAUAAAUGUAGGACAAUUCACCCUGGAAUUCAUUUUGACAUGUUUACAAAUCAAAAUAACACCCACCCACUGAGGAGGCCCUGAGCGCUCCAGGAUGUUGCUCCUCUUUUUGAAACGUGAGACUGACACUGGCACUGACUUGUUUGGAUUCCUUCCACUGCUUUCACUAAUCCUUAUCAUAUGUCAUCAAUUUUUCUGAUGAAACCAUUUUCAUGAACCGUGCCCUGUUUGCUUCCUUUGUUUUUACACAGACGGUACAUUUUUUCCUUAAAGUACUUUUGUGUUGCAAAGCUGCCCAAACCACACACCACAGUCUUCUCUUCCCACUGCACAGCCUAACAAAGGCCAUUCAUGGACUCUAACAUACAAAUUGACUUUAGCCAGUUAACCAACUUAUUCAUGGGUGGACUUAAAGCAGUGAGCAUAUUUGUAGGAUGCUACUCACAAAUGUACAGAUGUUAUGUGGAAAAUGAGGGAGCGUGGCUGUAACCACUCUGCCGGGCAACGUUGCACAAAGGCCAAGAAACUCCAACAGCAGAGUAUAAAGGCGCAACCAGCCAGAUCAGCUCGGGGCCCAGCACCUGUUGAAGACGCCACACAACGGCAAGUCCACUUCGACAAAUUACAUUGCACUGGUCAAAUUUCCUCAGUUAAAAGCCCCUAGUGGUUUUCUUUAUUUCCAUUUGUUCAUUUAAUUGACCUCAAAAUGUUCUCCUCAUAUAAUACAGAGAAUUACAACUUACUGUACUGUAAUUUUUAGAUGGCUUUAAUUGUAUAUGUUAACUUUUCUAAAGGAAAAAGAAAAAAAAUUAGCAGGAUCUCCGUUUUUCAAUAGUCUGACUGUCGUAAGUCCCCUUUGAUAAGUAGCAAUAGAUUGCUUCGUAAAAAUUCGUCCAUGUUUUCUCCAAAGAACUACAUUCCCAUGAAACCUAAUCCGGCGAAAAUCACUUCUGUAAUGUACAGAGCAACCACAAUCUAUGACGUCAUCUGAACCAACUUCAGCCAAUCAUAUAGCGUAAUGUCAUCAAUAGGCGCCAGACCCUGAGCAGAUCUGGCGACCCCAAUCACAUCUGGUACCUACACCAGCAAAAGUGAAAAUUGUGAUUGAGAUUUUUAGUUUUUUCUAAGGAUGCUGACACCAUUAUUGAGACUCCUUAAUAACCUGAGUCCCUAUCAAAACCACCAUUGAGUCUUUUCUGUCAUUGUUUUCCUUCAAACGGGUUUAUUUGUGCAGAUUUUUCAACCAAAACUACUUUUUCUUUUUCUGAACCUGACAUUUGAACAGAUCAUGACAAGGUAUCAUUUACUUUGGUCUAAUUCUAAUUUUACGAACUCUGACCCUGAACACCUCACAGUGUAAUUACGUUGCUGCUUUCCAGUUUACCUCAGAAGUUGGAGCUGGGAAUGACGUCACACCAAGUUAUCAGCAUCUCAGUUACAAAGUCGGAAUAAAGUAGCCAAUGGCAGAAAACGGAAGCGGAAACAAGAUGGCUACAUCUAUGAAAGUUAUUCUCGCGCUUGCCUCAUCCGAAUAUAGACAACUUCUAGACAAAUAUGCAGUCCUUCUGCAACCUGCAAACAUGGGUGGAUGAAGAGGACACACAAAGGCGCAGAAGGUAGCCUGUUUUUUCUCAUUACAGGAGCUUCUACUUACUGUUUACAACUGGCGCCGCCAUCUUUAAAUGUCAACUCAGGGGGUUGUGUCGAUCAUCUGACAUUCUGAGUCGGAAAACUGAUGGCCGUUCCAGUUGAACGUACUCGGAAAUCCCGACUUCCGAUUACGACUGGAACGCACCAUUAUCAGUCACCUCCAUUAGUUAGCUUGUUAGCUUGGAUCAGGAUUUGAAACUACAGGACUUGCUCUAAAGGUUUGGCUGUGCUGACCCUUCAGCUUUGGUAUUAUGUAGACUCACUUUGGAUCUCCUCACUGGACCUGACCUGAUUUCUUCUCCUUCAUAACUGUUCGCUGCUCCAACACUUUGUUAGACAGUCUAUUAACAUGUGUGAUUCAAUUAAGAUGAUGCGGUCGAGGUGAAAGUAUGACUUUACUCCAUGGGUCCUUUGAGACUGAUAAGCUCAAAUGUUGCUGGGAAGCUGAGAAAGAGAGUGUGUAUUUACAUCUUAAGAUAAACUGUCUAGAAAUUUGAUGUUUCUGAAAAUGUUGAACUUCCUUUAAACUCUGAACAGCCCCCCUGUGAUCCUUGAUUUUGUACCUUUCUGAGCUCUUUCAUAACAUUAAUUUAUGCAUGCACUCAUUAUACAGGAAAGGGCUUUGGAUAGAACAGCAUACAUUAAUAUAAUAAUAUUAACCAACCCAGAUGUGGUCGUGUCUCUUUGCUCUCACCAUCUUUUCUCAGAGAGGGGGAGGGCAGCGAGCUGUUGAAGGAGACGAGUGAGAGGUGUGGGGAGGAGCGAGUGAUGAAUCUCCCCGUCUCUAAACUCUCCGCUUCAUCGGCUCUUCCCUCGUUUCUGACCCAAAUCUAAUGCGACAGGACUCGUUUUCACUGCCCCCACCCACCCACACGCACACACCUCCUCACACCUCUCCUCCUUCGCCGCCGUUGCAGUCGCUGUGCACCACCCCUCUAUUUUUAGCUGUUUGUCCUUGAGCUACAAUCCCUGAAAAUUUCCAUGAUCCAUAAAGGACUGGGGCUGUGGUGCUUGUGAGAAAACACUCGCACCCACCCCCUGCCGAGAGCAUCCUCCCCUCGGCCCACUCACUCCGCACGUGUGUGUGUGUGUGUGUGUGUGUGUGUGCAAGUAUGAGCAACAGAUCGUUCACAAUUUCAAGUCUUUCGCCAUUACUGGAGCGAAUAUUCCUCUCAUUAAAGAGGUGAAAUGGAGGGAGCGUUAAACGAGUGAAAUGCCGACAGAUUGGGCCGUUCUUUCUCUGCCCCCCCAGCACACACACACACACACACACAGACACACACACACUCAUACGUUCACACUCAUCCCCUGCCUCAGAAAGUUAUCCACUGUAGCCAAUUAGCAUGACUGCUCUGUCUAGCAUUACCCCCCUCUUCCAUAUCCAAAUCUCACUCUCAUUACCGUCUUUUCCUCUCUUCCUCCACUAUCCUCCUCCAGCCCCUCUUCUCAUUCUCUCUCUUUCUCAUUAGAGCUGCGUCGUAACACACUGAAUCAUAAUAGGUGCUCUACACUGUGAAAUGGCUUUAGCUUUGUCUCAUUUCGCCGCUUGUAGCAGCAGAAUGAGUAAACAGACAAUCUAUUCCACCCAGGCACAGACACACACCGACAGACACAAUCAGAGACGUCCAUUAAUCUGUCGUAAAGCAGCUUUUGGCCCGCCUGAAGAAAUCCCUGAUAUUCGGUGUCAGAGAAACAGAGAGUGGGGGCUAAUCUACGGGGGGCUGCAAUGCAAGGCUGUGUCCCGUCCACUGAUAACAAACAGGCGAGCCAGACGGAGAAAAGAGUCUACGGGGAGGUGUGAAAGGAGGAGAAAUGGCAGAAGGAGAAGGGGGGAAUGAGGUGGAAGAGGCCAAAAGGUAGAUGGAGAGGAGCAAGAGGAUGGAUGAAGGGCAGGAGCAAAGUGCGGCAGGGGAGGAGGAGGGGGGGGCGGGGGGCGGGACGGCGGCGGCGGCACCGAUGCGUAUUCUAAGCCCUGAAUGUAAAUAUGCGUGAGGGGAUUAUCACAGAGUGCCAGGCGGCGCUUUUGGGGCUUUGUUUCCGUGACACCAUGACGUUGGCUUUGUUUCCCUGACAGCAGACGUGUGUGUAUGUGUGUGUCAUUGUGUGUGUCAUUGUGUGUGUUUGUGUGUGACAUCCAGGCAUCUGUUUCCUGCUGGAAAAGGUUAAUUACAUCUCCACUGCCUGACUGGACGUGCCAUGCAUAAUCACACGCGCUAAUGAGAGGAGCAUAUGUGUGUGUGUGUGUGUGUGUGAGUGUGGGUUUAGAAAAAGUCGCUCCGGAGCCGCUGAAUAGAUAUCUUCACCACUUGUUUCACUUUUGAAAGUCUUUUGUUGUAGCGAAGAAGAAACAGACACACUCUCAGAGUCAGACACUCACACAGGUGACAGCUGGAGGCGCACCGCACCGCAGUGGCAUUUACGGACAGACACUCCACUCCCACAGGAGGACAUUAAUGGAUGGGCCUGCAUUAGUGUGAGUGUGUGUUUGUAAUUACUUUUCUGCCUAAUAAUGAGACGGUGAUGCUACGGCAUCAGAGGAGGGACUUCUCACAAACCCUGUUGCUCACUCUGACCCUUGACUCCUAUCUUCACACUCCAGCUAAGCUGCUGAUUGGACAGCUGCUCGGCUUUAGAUUGGGCCCAGCUCAGCGUGAAAAACGAGAUGGGCUCCAGCCCUCCAUGGGUGACUUUGGAAAUUACUGUACACCUUCUCACUCAGCUGAAGUUCUCACUAAGUUGAUCUGACAUAAGCAGGUAGUUGAGGAGCUGCAGAGCUCUGCUGGGCCUCGGUUCCAAUUUAGCCUCUGUGGAGUCGCGAAUAAGGAGGAGAACAGAGAGACGUGGUAUCACUGAGAGGUGUGAAUGGAAGAAUAAUGGAUUUCUGGGGCCUGUUUUCACUUCACUCCUGAUUCAGAACAGCAGCUAUGGCAAAACAUGAGUCAAACAGAUCGGAAAAUGUGCUUUUGGAAUCAGAUCAGCAGAAGCUAAAAUCUCCAUGAGAUCCCGAGGGUAAAUUAGGGGAUGGGUAACAGGGAUGGGCUCAGGGUUCACAAGCUUUUACUUUCAACGGCUUGAAUGAUCUGGAGGAAUAUGGCUCUAGACAGCAAAGUGGUUGUUGGGUUUGAGCAGUUUCAAAAGUAGAAAAGGUGUUUAACCUGAAACCUCAGCCAGUCAGUAUGUUUACAUGCAGUUAAGUUGAGCCAUGUUUGGACCACACUCCUCGUCCCGCUUGACAAUCUCCGGACAAGAAUCGAAUUGUUGACGGGAGCAUUGGGGGGUUUGUAGACAGGCUGGGGAUGCAUAUUAUUCUGGUAUUAUUCUGGUAAGAAAACCAUUCUAAAGUUCACUUUGCAUAAUAUGGGACCUUUAACUAUGUUGGUCCAACUAUGAGAAGUUUGAUUUACUGCAAUCUUAGUCGGACCAACGUGUUAACAUGUCCUUUUAUAAUCUCAUUUCACUUGGACUAAUGCAGUAAGCUGAUCAUUUGAACAACAUGUAAACAUACUGACUGAAAUAUUGAGUAAAAAUUGCAAAGAUCCGUUGAUUAUGGCUUUGAAUAAUAGCUUGUGUAUGCUAAAGCCCCUUUUUCAUCUCUGCUUUGGCAUCUAUACAUGACAUCAGACAGUCAGUGCUGAGCAGCAGUAACCUGGGAUUUACAUUCCAGACUGUAAAAAGAGAAAACCCUGAUCAGGUGAGACAGAGUCAAACUUGGGUCUCCUGGUCCCUCCAUUGUUCUUCCUCUUCACUCUCCUCUUCCUCCACUUGCUCUUUUUUCUUCUUCUUCCGUCUUCUGCAGAAGCCGUUCAGGCCACAGAAGCAGG